UACGUAGGUGGCAAGCGUUGUCCGGAAUUAUUGGGCGUAAAGCGCGCGCAGGCGGUCCUUUAAGUCUGAUGUGAAAGCCCACGGCUCAACCGUGGAGGGUCAUUGGAAACUGGGGGACUUGAGUGCAGGAGAGAAAAGUGGAAUUCCACGUGUAGCGGUGAAAUGCGUAGAGAUGUGGAGGAACACCAGUGGCGAAGGCGACUUUUUGGCCUGUUCUUGACGCUGAGGCGCGAAAGCGUGGGGAGCAAACGGG
rnacentral:rRNA from 1 species